rnacentral:rRNA from 1 species
AUUGAACGCUGGCGGCAUGCCUUACACAUGCAAGUCGAACGGCAGCACGGGUGCUUGCACCUGGUGGCGAGUGGCGAACGGGUGAGUAAUACAUCGGAACAUGUCCUGUAGUGGGGGAUAGCCCGGCGAAAGCCGGAUUAAUACCGCAUACGAUCUACGGAUGAAAGAGGGGGACCUUCGGGCCUCGCGCUAUAGGGUUGGCCGAUGGCUGAUUAGCUAGUUGGUGGGGUAAAGGCCUACCAAGGCGACGAUCAGUAGCUGGUCUGAGAGGACGACCAGCCACACUGGGACUGAGACACGGCCCAGACUCCUACGGGAGGCAGCAGUGGGGAAUUUUGGACAAUGGGCGAAAGCCUGAUCCAGCAAUGCCGCGUGUGUGAAGAAGGCCUUCGGGUUGUAAAGCACUUUUGUCCGGAAAGAAAUCCUUGGCCCUAAUACGGUCGGGGGAUGACGGUACCGGAAGAAUAAGCACCGGCUAACUACGUG